rnacentral:rRNA from 1 species
AACGAACGCUGGCGGCGUGCUUAACACAUGCAAGUCGAACGGGUUUAAUGGAUGUAGCAAUACAUUCAUUAAAUUAGUGGCGCACGGGUGAGUAACACGUAGGUAACCUACCCUUCAGUGGGGGACAACAGAGGGAAACUUCUGCUAAUACCGCAUACGAUCACGGACUGGGAUGUUCGUGGUGAAAGGAUUUAUUCGCUGAGGGAUGGGCCUGCGGCCUAUCAGGUAGUUGGUGAGGUAAUGGCUCACCAAGCCUGCGACGGGUAGCCGGACUGAGAGGUCGAUCGGCCACACUGGAACUGAGACACGGUCCAGACUCCUACGGGAGGCAGCAGUGGGGAAUAUUGCACAAUGGGGGAAACCCUGAUGCAGCGACGCCGCGUGGAGGAUGACGGCCUUCGGGUGUAAAGCUCUUUGUUGGGAAGAAAGCAGUUGGUUAAUACCCGAUUGUUCUGACGGUACCCAAGAAUAAGCACCGGCUAACUUCGUGCCAGCAGCCGCGGUAAAACG